GAUGAACGCUGGCGGCGUGCCUAAUACAUGCAAGUCGAGCGAACAGAUGAGGAGCUUGCUCCUCUGACGUUAGCGGCGGACGGGUGAGUAACACGUGGAUAACCUACCUAUAAGACUGGGAUAACUUCGGGAAACCGGAGCUAAUACCAGAUAAUAUAUUGAACCGCAUGGUUCAAUAGUGAAAGACGGUUUUGCUGUCACUUAUAGAUGGAUCCGCGCCGCAUUAGCUAGUUGGUAAGGUAACGGCUUACCAAGGCAACGAUGCGUAGCCGACCUGAGAGGGUGAUCGGCCACACUGGAACUGAGACACGGUCCAGACUCCUACGGGAGGCAGCAGUAGGGAAUCUUCCGCAAUGGGCGAAAGCCUGACGGAGCAACGCCGCGUGAGUGAUGAAGGUCUUCGGAUCGUAAAACUCUGUUAUUAGGGAAGAACAAAUGUGUAAGUAACUAUGCACGUCUUGACGGUACCUAAUCAGAAAGCCACGGCUAACUACGUG
rnacentral:rRNA from 1 species